rnacentral:rRNA from 1 species
UACGUGGGUGGCGAGCGUUAUCCGGAAUUAUUGGGCGUAAAGAAUGCGUAGGUGGACUUUUAAGUCAGAUGUGAAAUCCCCGGGCUUAACCCGGGAGCUGCAUUUGAAACUGGAAGCCUGGAGUGCAGGAGAGGUAAGUGGAAUUCCAAGUGUAGCGGUGAAAUGCGUAGAUAUUUGGAAGAACAUCGGUGGCGAAGGCGACUUACUGGACUGUUACUGACACUGAGGCGCGAAAGCUAGGGGAGCGAACGGG